UACAUGGCAGUACAACAGCGAGAUAACAAAGAAUGU
rnacentral:misc_RNA from 1 species